GUCAGUAUGGCCGAGUGGUUAAGGCGCCGGACUUGAAAUCCUGUGGGCGUUGCCCGCGCAGGUUCAAAUCCUGCUGCUGACG
rnacentral:tRNA from 1 species